AUUGAACGCUGGCGGCAGGCCUAACACAUGCAAGUCGAGCGAGCGGCGGACGUGUGAGUAAUGUCUGGGAAACUGCCUGAUGGAGGGGGAUAACUACUGGAAACGGUAGCUACUACCGCAUACCAUCAGAUGUGCCCAGAUGGGAUUCGCUAGUAGGUGGGGUAAUGGAUCACCUAGGCGACGAUCCCUAGCUGGUCUGAGAGGAUGACCAGACACACUGGAACUGAUACACGGCCCAGACUCCUACGGGAGGCAGCAGUGGGGAAUAUGGCAAAAUGGGCGCAAGCCUGAGGCAUCCAUGCCGAGUGUGUGAAGAAGGCCUUCGGGUUGUAAAGCACUUUCAGUGAGGAGGCGUUACCAACAGAAGAGGCACCGGCUAACUUCGUGCCAGCAGCCGCGGUAAUAC
rnacentral:rRNA from 1 species